rnacentral:rRNA from 1 species
GACGAACGCUGGCGGCGUGCUUAACACAUGCAAGUCGAACGGAAAGGCCCUGCUUUUGUGGGGUGCUCGAGUGGCGAACGGGUGAGUAACACGUGAGUAACCUGCCCUUGACUUUGGGAUAACUUCAGGAAACUGGGGCUAAUACCGGAUAGGAGCUCCUGCUGCAUGGGGGGUGUUGGAAAGUUUCGGCGGUUGGGGAUGGACUCGCGGCUUAUCAGCCUGUUGGUGGGCGAGUGGCUUACCAAGGCUUUGCCGGGUAGCCGGCCUGAGAGGGUGACCGGCCACAUUGGGACUGAGAUACGGCCCAGACUCCUACGGGAGGCAGCAGUGGGGAAUAUUGCACAAGGGGCCGAAGCAGGAUGCAGCAACGCCGCGUGCGGGAUGACGGCCUUCGGGUUGUAAACCGCUUUCGCCUGUGACGAAGCGUGAGUGACGGUAAUGGGUAAAGAAGCACCGGCUAACUACGU